rnacentral:rRNA from 1 species
GUGCCUAUACAUGCAAGUCGAACGAACUUCCGUUAAUUGAUUAUGACGUGCUUGCACUGAAUGAGAUUUUAACACGAAGUGAGUGGCGGACGGGUGAGUAACACGUGGGUAACCUGCCCAGAAGCAGGGGAUAACACCUGGAAACAGAUGCUAAUACCGUAUAACAGAGAAAACCGCCUGGUUUUCUUUUAAAAGAUGGCUCUGCUAUCACUUCUGGAUGGACCCGCGGCGCAUUAGCUAGUUGGUGAGGUAACGGCUCACCAAGGCGAUGAUGCGUAGCCGACCUGAGAGGGUAAUCGGCCACAUUGGGACUGAGACACGGCCCAGACUCCUACGGGAGGCAGCAGUAGGGAAUCUUCCACAAUGGACGCAAGUCUGAUGGAGCAACGCCGCGUGAGUGAAGAAGGGUUUCGGCUCGUAAAGCUCUGUUGUUAAAGAAGAACGUGGGUGAGAGUAACUGUUCACCCAGUGACGGUAUUUAACCAGAAAGCCACGGCUAACUACGUGCCAGCAGCCGCGGUAAUACGUAGGUGGCAAGCGUUAUCCGGAUUUAUUGGGCGUAAAGCGAGCGCAGGCGGUCUUUUAAGUCUAAUGUGAAAGCCUUCGGCUCAACCGAAGAAGUGCAUUGGAAACUGGGAGACUUGAGUGCAGAAGAGGACAGUGGAACUCCAUGUGUAGCGGUGAAAUGCGUAGAUAUAUGGAAGAACACCAGUGGCGAAGGCGGCUGUCUGGUCUGUAACUGACGCUGAGGCUCGAAAGCAUGGGUAGCGAACAGGAUUAGAUACCCUGGUAGUCCAUGCCGUAAACGAUGAUUACUAAGUGUUGGAGGGUUUCCGCCCUUCAGUGCUGCAGCUAACGCAUUAAGUAUCCGCCUGGGGAGUACGACCGCAAGGUGAAACUCAAAAG